rnacentral:rRNA from 1 species
CAGUAGCCACGGGAAUACGGGGGGGGCAAGUGUUAUUCGGAAUGACUGGGCGUAAAGGGCACGUAGGCGGUGAAAAGGGUGGAAAGUGAAAGUCGCCAAAACACUGGCGGGGUGCUUUCUUGACCAUUUCACUUGAGUGAGAUAGGGGAGAGUGGAAUUUCGUGUGGAGGGAUCAAAUCCUAAGAUAUAAGAAGGAACGCCAACCGCGAAGGCAGCUCUCUGGGUCCCCACUGACGCUGGGGUGCGAAAGCAUGGGGAGCAAACAGGAUCAGAUACCCGCGUAGUCCCUGUCUCUUAUAAA